CUUUCAUUAACCUGAACUUUGUGUCUCAGUGUGAAUUUACUUCUGCGUGCACGCAACUUUAUUAUCUUUAAUUUGGACAGGAACAGAUAGUCAUUCAAACUAAUUGGUUUGCAGUAAAUUAUCUACAACAGCUGGCGCCAUAACGUGGGGCUCUGGGCUAUGUCCUGUCUGGGCAGCUGUCCAAGAAGAUGCUGGGGGGGUGAAUCCUGGGGGAAGGAAAAGAGCCUGAUCACCUCUGAGUACACGGUAGAGAUUGCUGCAGCACCUAGCCGGUAUGUUCCUGCCCCUGUGAUUGACCUGCCCCAGUGUCUGUGACUGCUGCCGAGAGGACAUCAAAGUCAGGU
rnacentral:lncRNA from 1 species